UUAGACAUGGGGUUGCCAUCCUCAGAGCCCUGCUCUCUGCUAAGGGAGCUGGGUGACUGCAGUGAAGGUUCUCUCAUCUUCUUUCCCCACACGGCACUGGGCAGGUUCAUACACUGUCAACUGAAAGUCACCACUUGACUCAGAAUCUUCCUAAAUUUGUUGAUGGUUUAUUGUUCUUGUUUUUACUUUUUAGCAAAACCCUUUUUACAAACUAAAUAUUUCAAUCUAUUUGCUUGUAGAUAUUUCAACAAAUAAAAUACGAAUAAAUGGGAAUCAAGCGAGAGUGUGGUCCCGGAGACCACCCGCCUGGAUUCCUCCACAGCCCCACAGGCACUGAUAAAGAAGCCUGGGCUUCAGGAAACACACUCGGAAAAUCACCACUUUAGAACAAGUCGUGACUUUUAAAACAGUAGCAAAGCAUGGUAGAUUGAUUUUAGGAAAGGAUGUGUGCCCCGCAGUCUUCCAGAAGUCACACCACAUGGGUUAUUGCCACCUGUCUACGAAAAUUAGUAAACGCUAGUGGUCUCAGCCCGAAUUCCCUGCUUACUUCAGACACAGUCAGCUUCUAAACAUCACCUCUUGGUGAGACCUCAGUGUAGUUUAUUUAUUUCUUUAAAUCUGGUUUAUUUCUUUAAAACCCAAGCUUCUGAAAUGGAAUCCCUCCCUAUGGAGAGACUCAUAAAGGCCAGGGCCUGUUUUCUUUAAAGACAGAAAAACAAAAUUCAAAACAAAGAGCUCCAAAAACUUUGUUUUGUGGAUUAUGUUUAUGGCAUUUCAAUGCCUUUCCUUAAAUCCCUAAAUAAUAUGAACUGCUGAGACUCUAACAGACUAAUUAUGCUGCUGGCCUUUUGAAACUUGACUGCCAGGGUCUAUGUUAUUGCUUUGAGUUUUAAAAGGAGACCCAAAAUAUCCUUUUACCCAGUCCAUGUUGAUUUUUUUCUAUAAAUGUACCAGCACAUCUGACCAACAUAGACGAGUGGACCCUACCCUUCAACCGCCCCCCACCCACCUAGGUGUUUAGACUUUCUCAUACAUAUUCAGAUUUCCGGGUCAGGCACCUGGAGCAAACCAAGUGGUGGCUACUUAGGGAGGAAUUGGCAGGAUGACUCUACUUUUUGGGUCAGCAGAAGGAUUCAUCAAGAAUAGAGGGGAAAAGUUUCAGGAGUAACACUAGAAAAAAGAAAAUAGUUUCUUUUCUCUCCCACAAUCGUUUCUCCAUUGGUGACCCUGUAAGAGCUUGUGAUUGUGAACUAGGACUCGAAGGCACAUAGUUCUGUACUGAGUCAAACAUGCUACAUGACCCUAACAGGUCACACACGAGGCAUGGGCAGGGUCUGAAAGGCCUGGACCCACAAAGCUUUGGAUUGAUCAUUUUGCAUUGCCUGAACUUUAUCACUGGAAGGAACCAAGCCCAGAGCUGAGUGGGGAGCCGAGGAGGAGACUUGGGGGAAAUCUGGUGUGCCUUUCUUAUAGCCUGGGGACCCUUGAUUGUGGAGCAGUCUAAAGAGAGCUGAGAUUCUAAGAAUUCUGCUGAGGAAUGACCAAUGAUCUAGGUGAACUGCGGAAGCAGCUUUCAAGAGGCACCUGCUCUGAUUAACCGCCUUCAGACACCUCAAAUGGCAAGAACCUCUCUGCACUAGUUGGAAAACAUUGUUUAAGACAAUUACUACCUUUAGAAAGUCACCAUUUUCACUUCAAAUUUCUUUCAAAAUAAUGUUGGGCUGAAGGAUUGGUAGCUAAUGAUUAACCUCUAGUAAUUAGUCUCCUGAAACCAGAAAGAGAGGAACCAGAGCUCCAUCAACAAGGAUGUGAGCCCAGCUCCCCCAUGAACACCCAUGAACACGCCGAACCACUUUGCUCUCCUUUGAUGUUUGUAGUCACACAUGAAAUUUGACACACAAGCAUGUACUAUCUUAUACUGCGAAUGGUUGUUUUAUAUAUUCUGUCUUGGCUCCCCAGCUGUAUAUUUCUUAAAGGCAGAAAAUGAGAACAUAAGUCAUAUUUUAAAUAUCCCACGCAAAGUUUCCAGCUCAGGGCUGGGCACGAGAUGGGUCCUCAGAAAAUCCUGGUUUGUUGAUCAGCGAUUGGCAAGUCACAAUAACUGUCAAAUGCAUAGAAGAGCCCGACGGCCAAACCUUGAUCUGCCUUUGCUUACAAAAGAUGUUGACCACGGAAAUAAUCAGCAUGCAGUGUCCACAAACAUGCAGGAAGUUGUGGUCAGUUUUAUGGCAUUCCAGGCAGAGAAGUAUAAUCUGUUCAAAAUGCUUAAAACUAACUUGCAUAUUAAAUAUGACAGUAUUUUUCUUCCUUGUCAAUGAGGAAAAAAACAUUUUGUGCCUAUGUGUUCUCACUGCAAUAUAAUGAAAGAGUUAACACAGACUUUGGAGCAUUCAUUCCCAGUUCUGCCAUUUGUUGGUUGUGACCUUGAGGAAUUCUAUAAAUGCUAAAUCUCUCCCUCUUUCUCUUUUUCAUUUCUCUUUAUCCUCAGACAGCAUCCAUGAAAUCACUGCAGGACAACUUGAGAAUAAAUGUGCCAAAUGAUGAGGAACUUCACUGCCUUUGAUAAAGUACGGUGGCUUGCUCACUUUCCAGCCAUGCCACCCAAGCCAAGAUAAGACAAAGGAAGCUGUCAGCCGAUAACUGGCUUCUCCAUGGGUUGUGAAAAGGCAGACCGAAUGAAACUAAGAUCUUCUGGCAGAAUUUUAAUUUCCAUUUCAUUGCAACAUAUUGUCAUCUAUAUAUGCUUC